UCCGUGUUAACCACGGCAGUCUCGCCAGACACAUGUAACUGGCAAUAGGGGUUGCGCUCGUUAUCCGACUUAACGGUACAUUUCACAACACGAGCUGACGACAACCGUGCAGCACCUGUCUCUGUUGUCCGAAGAGGGGGUCUAUUUCUAGUCCCUUUCAACAGGAUGUCAAAUCUUGGUGAGGUGCUCCGCUUAGCAUCGAAUUAAACCACAUGCUCCACCGCUUGUGCGGGUCCCCGUCAAUUCCUUUGAGUUUUAGUCUUGCGACCGUACUCCCCAGGCGGGAUGCUUAACGUGUUAACUUCGGCACUAGGGGGGUCGAUGCCACUAAUGCCUAGCAUCCAUCGUUUAGGGCGUGGACUAC
rnacentral:misc_RNA from 1 species